UUUUAUGGAGAGUUUGAUCCUGGCUCAGGAUGAACGCUGGCGGCGUGCCUAAUACAUGCAAGUCGAGCGAACGGACGAGAAGCUUGCUUCUCUGAUGUUAGCGGCGGACGGGUGAGUAACACGUGGAUAACCUACCUAUAAGACUGGGAUAACUUCGGGAAACCGGAGCUAAUACCGGAUAAUAUUUUGAACCGCAUGGUUCAAAAGUGAAAGACGGUCUUGCUGUCACUUAUAGAUGGAUCCGCGCUGCAUUAGCUAGUUGGUAAGGUAACGGCUUACCAAGGCAACGAUGCAUAGCCGACCUGAGAGGGUGAUCGGCCACACUGGAACUGAGACACGGUCCAGACUCCUACGGGAGGCAGCAGUAGGGAAUCUUCCGCAAUGGGCGAAAGCCUGACGGAGCAACGCCGCGUGA
rnacentral:rRNA from 1 species